GGGCGGGUAGCGUAGUGGUCAGUGUGUUCACGAAGCAUUUUUUCAGCGUUGCGUUUCCAGCGUUUAGCGAGAGUCCUGGGUUCGAAUCCCAGCCCGCCUA